rnacentral:rRNA from 1 species
GACGAACGCUGGCGGCGUGCUUAACACAUGCAAGUCGAACGAUGAGACCUAGCUUGCUAGGUCGAUUAGUGGCGAACGGGUGAGUAACACGUGACUAACCUGCCCCUUUCUCUGGGAUAACGCUCCGAAAGGAGUGCUAAUACCGGAUACUCACAACGAGGCACAUGCCUUGGGGUGGAAAGUUUUUCGGAAAGGGAUGGAGUCGCGGCCUAUCAGCUUGUUGGUGAGGUAACGGCGCACCAAGGCGACGACGGGUAGCCGGCCUGAGAGGGCGACCGGCCACACUGGGACUAAGACACGGCCCAGACUCCUACGGGAUGCAGCAGUGGGGAAUAUUGCACAAUGGGCGCAAGCCUGAUGCAGCGACGCCGCGUGAGGGAUGAAGGUCUUCGGAUUGUAAACCUCUUUUAUAUGGGGCGAAAAAGGGCCAUUCUUGGUCAACUGACGGUACCAUAUGAAUAAGCACCGGCUAACUCCGUGCCAGCAGCCGCCGUAA